UAGCUAGUUGGUGAGGUAAAGGCUCACCAAGGCGACGAUCUGUAGCGGGUCUGAGAGGAUGAUCCGCCACACUGGAACUGAGACACGGUCCAGACUCCUACGGGAGGCAGCAGUGGGGAAUUUUGGACAAUGGGGGCAACCCUGAUCCAGCCAUGCCGCGUGAGUGAAGAAGGCCUUCGGGUUGUAAAGCUCUUUCGGCCGGGAAGAAAUCGCAUGGGUUAAUACCCUGUGCGGAUGACGGUACCGGCAUAAGAAGCACCGGCUAACUACGUGCCAGCAGCCGCGGUAAUACGUAGGGUGCGAGCGUUAAUCGGAAUUACUGGGCGUAAAGCGUGCGCAGGCGGUUUUGUAAGACAGGCGUGAAAUCCCCGGGCUCAACCUGGGAACUGCGCUUGUGACUGCAAGGCUAGAGUAUGGCAGAGGGGGGUGGAAUUCCACGUGUAGCAGUGAAAUGCGUAGAGAUGUGGAGGAACACCAAUGGCGAAGGCAGCCCCCUGGGCCAAUACUGACGCUCAUGCACGAAAGCGUGGGUAGCAAACAGGAUUAGAUACCCUGGUAGUCCACGCCCUAAACGAUGUCAACUAGGUGUUGGGUGGGUAAAACCAUUUAGUACCGGAGCUAACGCGUGAAGUUGACCGCCUGGGGAGUACGGCCGCAAGGUUAAAACUCAAAGGAAUUGACGGGGACCCGCACAAGCGGUGGAUGAUGUGGAUUAAUUCGAUGCAACGCGAAAAACCUUACCUACCCUUGACAUGUCCAGGAGCCUGAAGAGAUUUGGGUGUGCCCGAAAGGGAACUGGAACACAGGUGCUGCAUGGCUGUCGUCAGCUCGUGUCGUGAGAUGUUGGGUUAAGUCCCGCAACGAGCGCAACCCUUGUCGUUAAUUGCCAUCAUUUAGUUGGGCACUUUAACGAGACUGCCGGUGACAAACCGGAGGAAGGUGGGGAUGACGUCAAGUCCUCAUGGCCCUUAUGGGUAGGGCUUCACACGUCAUACAAUGGUCGGUACAAAGGGUUGCCAACCCGCGAGGGGGAGCCAAUCCCAGAAAGCCGAUCGUAGUCCGGAUUGCAGGCUGCAACUCGCCUGCAUGAAGUCGGAAUCGCUAGUAAUCGUGGAUCAGCAUGUCACGGUGAAUACGUUCCCGGGUCUUGUACACACCGCCCGUCACACCAUGGGAGCGGGUUCCGCCAGAAGUAGGUAGCCUAACCGCAAGGGGGGCGCUUACCACGGCGGGGUUCGUGACUGGGGUGAAGUCGUAACAAGGUAGCCGUAGGGGAACCUGCGGCUG
rnacentral:rRNA from 1 species